GAGAUGUUGGGUUAAGUCCCGCAACGAGCGUAACCCUUGUUUUUAGUUGCCUUUCGAGGAUAUUUAGAAAGACUGCCGAUUAUAAAUCGGAGGAAGGUAAGGACGACGUCAAGUCAUCAUGCCCCUUACACUCUGGGCUACACACGUGCUACAUUGGGUAGAACAAUAAGUUGCUAAGUUGCGAAACCAAGCGAAUCUUCAAAUCUACUCUAAGUUCGGAUUGUAGGCUGCAACUCGCC
rnacentral:rRNA from 1 species